AGAGUUUGAUCAUGGCUCAGGAUGAACGCUAGCUACAGGCUUAACACAUGCAAGUCGAGGGGAAACGACAUCGAAAGCUUGCUUUUGAUGGGCGUCGACCGGCGCACGGGUGAGUAACGCGUAUCCAACCUGCCCACCACUUGGGGAUAACCUUGCGAAAGUAAGACUAAUACCCAAUGACGUCUCUAGAAGACAUCUGAAGGAGAUUAAAGAUUUAUACGGUGAUGGAUGGGGAUGCGUCUGAUUAGCUUGUUGGCGGGGUAACGGCCCGACCAAGGCGACGAUCAGUAGGGGUUCUGAGAGGAAGGUCCCCCACACUUGGAACUGAGACACGGUCCAAACGUCCUACGGGAGGCA
rnacentral:rRNA from 1 species